rnacentral:rRNA from 1 species
UGGGGAAUAUUGGACAAUGGGCGCAAGCCUGAUCCAGCAAUGCCGCGUGAGUGAAGAAGGUCUUCGGAUUGUAAAGCUCUUUCGACGGGGACGAUGAUGACGGUACCCGUAGAAGAAGCCCCGGCUAACUUCGUGCCAGCAGCCGCGGUAAUACGAAGGGGGCUAGCGUUGCUCGGAAUGACUGGGCGUAAAGGGCGCGUAGGCGGAUGACACAGUCAGGCGUGAAAUUCCCGGGCUCAACCUGGGGGCUGCGCUUGAUACAUGUUGUCUUGAGUUCGGAAGAGGGUCGUGGAAUUCCCAGUGUAGAGGUGAAAUUCGUAGAUAUUGGGAAGAACACCGGUGGCGAAGGCGGCGACCUGGUCCGAUACUGACGCUGAGGCGCGAAAGCGUGGGGAGCAAACAGGAUUAGAUACCCUGGUAGUCCACGCCGUAAACGAUGUGUGCUGGAUGUUGGGCAGCUUAGCUGUUCAGUGUCGUAGCCAACGCGAUAAG